GACGAACGCUGGCGGCGUGCUUAACACAUGCAAGUCGAACGGAAAGGCCCUGCUUUUGUGGGGUGCUCGAGUGGCGAACGGGUGAGUAGCACGUGGGUAACCUGCCCUUGACUUUGGGAUAACUUCAGGAAACUGGGGCUAAUACCGGAUAGGAGCUCCUGCUGCAUGGUGGGGGUUGGAAAGUUUCGGCGGUUGGGGAUGGACUCGCGGCUUAUCAGCUUGUUGGUGGGGUAGUGGCUUACCAAGGCUUUGACGGGUAGCCGGCCUGAGAGGGUGACCGGCCACAUUGGGACUGAGAUACGGCCCAGACUCCUACGGGAGGCAGCAGUGGGGAAUAUUGCACAAUGGGCGGAGGCCUGAUGCAGCAACGCCGCGUGCGGGAUGACGGCCUUCGGGUUGUAAACCGCUUUCGCCUGUGACGAAGCGUGAGUGACGGUAAUGGGUAAAGAAGCACCGGCUAACUACGUG
rnacentral:rRNA from 1 species